rnacentral:rRNA from 1 species
CCUACGGGAGGCAGCAGUGAGGAAUAUUGGUCAAUGGGCGGAAGCCUGAACCUGCCAAGUAGCGUGCAGGAUGACGGCCCUACGGGUUGUAAACUGCUUUUAUACGGGAAUAACGCGCCUUACGUGUAGGGCUUUGCAUGUACCGUAUGAAUCAGGACCGGCUAAUUCCGUGCCAGCCGCCGCGGUAAUACGGAAGGUCCGGGCGUUAUCCGGAUUUAUUGGGUUUAAAGGGAGCGUCGGCCGCAUGUGAAGCGUGCUUUGAAAUGUCCGGGCUCAACCCGGGCCUUGCAGCGCGAACUGGCGUGCUUGAGUGCGCGGAAAGCAGGCGGAAUUCGUGGUGGAGCGGUGAAAUGCUUAGAUAUGACGAAGAACCCCGAUUGCGAAGGCAGCUUGCUGCAGCGGAACUGACGCUGAUGCUCGAAAGCGCGGGUAUCGAACAGGAUUAGAUACCCCAGUAGUC